AUGAAUCAAUUUUCUGAUGAUUCGUCUAAACAAUCUAGUGGGAGCUUACCUGCUAAAGAAAUUGAGGUUCCUAAGAAUGUUGGUGAUGCAUUAGGGUCUUGGUUAAAUAAGACCAAGGAAACUGGAGAUGUUAGGAAUAAGAUCACCAUUGCCGAACCUUCUGGUGGAACAUAUGACACUAAGAAGAUAAUGAUUACAAAUGUGAAUCCUGAGAAGAUGGGGACUCUAGAUAGAUGA